UUGUAUUGAACCCGGAAUAUUCCUUUAACCAAUAACCACUGGCGGAAUUGUGAAGAAACCAUCUAAUUGAACAACUUAAAUGCUAAUGUUUAUUUCAACUUUAAUUGAAAUUGAAAACGUUUAUAUUUUAUAAUCUAUAUCAUUUCAAAUUAUUUUUAUUCUACCUUUAUUCUCAUCCUCAUCUGUAAUUUCAUUAAUAAUGUAAUUCAUUAUAAUUUAUUUGUCUGAUUUUCCUGUUUGCAGUAAUGGAGUGUUUUGUGGAUGCAGUUCUUACGCCUAUACAUGAGGUGGCGCAUGUUGCUUCUUGUCUGCAGAAAUCGAGCUACACAGUAAAGCGCUGAAGAAGCAAAGCCACGUUUCCACAUCCACGCUGCGGUUGAGACUGAGUGCGCAGGCUGUGCAGAUCUGAAGUGAAGUUACAAGCGGGCGUUAAGAUGAAAGAACCAUUUUUGAUUGUUUAAAGAGCGCUUGAGAGAAUGAUCAAUGCUACGUUAUCGAUUGAACAUCGACAACAAAUGAGCUCUCAUUGUCAGCGGAGUCUGAUUAUAUGAUCAGACUGAAUCAGGUGAGUAUAUAUGCGGACAAACAGCCUUAACACUACAAUUAUGAAAUCAAAUUAAUGACUUUAAAGGAAUUAGAACGAAGUUCAAAAUAUUUUAGUUGCUGAUUUUUUUGUUUGCUGAUUUUAGCGUGCUGAGCACGUGGGCGCGCUCAUGAGCACGUGACUGAUCUCAGCUUUUGUAUGAAUGUACUUGGGUAGAAAGUAUUGAUUUCAAAUGCAUUCAAGGCUUUAUCGUGUUUAAUUAUGUAAAAUCAUUGAUUUAUUUUUAUCAAUUAGAAUUACUGAUGUUCACGGUGGAGUUCGUCAGUGACUAAAGGAUUAAAAGGUGGAUUUCAAAAGCCCUGAUGACUUGAGGUUUGUAUGCGUCUAUGCUUUGUUCACUGUUAUGGCAUUGGACCUUAUUCAUGAAACUCAAGCAGAACACAUUUCUGUUAAUCGUUCAUAAAUUCAUUAUAACAAAGUGUUUACAACUAGUGAAAUUUCAGUCAAAUCAAUAAUUGCAACUUCAGUUUCAGGGUGUUUCAUUUGUGAUGUUAUAGUUUUUAUUGGGCAGAUUAAAUGUACAUUUGAUAGAAGCAUUUUCAAUUAAACUGUGUGGAUUGAACAUGUGUUGGUGUAAUAAACAAAAUGAACAAUUUG